rnacentral:rRNA from 1 species
UACGAAGGGGGCUAGCGUUGCUCGGAAUCACUGGGCGUAAAGGGUGCGUAGGCGGGUCUUUAAGUCAGGGGUGAAAUCCUGGAGCUCAACUCCAGAACUGCCUUUGAUACAGCAAGUCUUGAGUUCGAGAGAGGUGGGUGGAAUUCCUAGUGUAGAGGUGAAAUUCGUAGAUAUUAGGAAGAACACCGGUGGCGAAGGCGGCCCACUGGCUCGACACUGACGCUGAGGUGCGAAAGCGUGGGGAGCAAACAGGG